AGAGAGAGAGAGAGAGAGAGAGAGAGAGAGAGAGAGAGAGAGAGAGAGAGAGGAGGUCAAAGGAUGGGUGAAGGAACGGAGAGAAAAACAAGUCUUGGGAGGAGAGGUGGAACACUAAUUGGCUGAAAGAACGGAGAGAGGGAGAGAGUGAUAGAAGGCAAGUUGUGACGGUAUAGACAGGAAGAGUACACAAUAUGAAACAGUAGUAGAAGGACAGAACAGUUUAAAAGCAUUCAGAAUGUUAUCUAGUCUAUCUAGACUCCCAGAGGACUGACUGUCUGUCUUGUCAAUGUGGACGUACUUUGAAAAAGGUAUUUGAAAGUCUGAGGAGCAGUUUUUUUAAAAUCUUUUCUUUAACAGAACUUUCUACAGAAUAGGGAAACUCAAUAGACAAAGAUAGAACUGAUGUUGUCAAUAAUUGUCUCAUUAAAGUUCCAAUUCCUAAACACAGCAACAUCACAAGAACAAAAGGGCUGUACGUUUUCCACAAUACCAAACAGAUGCUCAAACAUUAGAAACAUCAAACACAAAGUCCCAGACAAUACAUAAAAUAUUUGUUUCGAUGGCUUUGAUGAGUUUGCAGUAUUUCCAGCUGUCUGCACAGGCUUAUUUUAACCGCGGUGUCCGUCUCUCUGCUUCUAUGAUUAUACACUUUAUACAAAUCCUCCCCUGCAGUUCUCCAACAUAAAAAAACAAGUAGAAGUUAUGUGCCUUUAAAGGCCCACUCUGUGAAACUUAGUCAUUUGUAGUCAAGUGGCGGGGCCACCGUUUUGUUGCGUUUCGAAUGAAGGAACGUGUCUUUAAAGCCUACAGAGAGAGAGACCUGACUGUGAGUGAGCUCCUGCAUUGCAUCAGACUAAACUAUGUUUUUGUUGAGUCAGGUAGAUUUAGAAGGAAAUGCAAGCAGUCAGAAGUCCCGGACAGAUAAAGCUGUCGGAUUGUCAAAGAGAUAACACUGAUGAAAGGAACCAGCUCAGCACGAAGAACAGAAGAGGAGAACUCAAGGACGGAGGGAAGGAGAUAGAGGAACAGAUAGAAAGAGAGAGAGAGAUGUUUGAGAUAUUUCUGAUCAUAAAAUCAUGAUUUACAGA
rnacentral:lncRNA from 1 species